AUGUGGAAACAAGAGGCCCUUCAACAGCCAUUUUCAACUGAAGAAGACAGUGAUUCAGGCUCAGCUCGAACUCUUGAAUUUGAUUUGAAACUUGGUUUGGCUGGAAUUGGAAGUGGGUUGGUAGUGGGAGUGGUUCUUGCUAUUGAUACGGAAAAGCAGCCUUCUUGCCAUGCCGAGGAGAGCUCAGCCUUGCUGCAGUUCAAGGAGAGCUUUAUUAUUGACAAAUCUGUUUCAAUUUAUGACGGUGCUUAUCCAAAGGUUUCAUCAUGGAAACCAGCUGGAGGAGGAAAUAGCAGUUGCUGCUCGUGGGACGGCGUGGAGUGUGACGAGAUGACGGGUCAUGUUAUUGGCCUUAAUCUGAGCAGCAGUUAUCUUUACGGCUCUUUCGACUCAAAUAGUAGCCUAUUUAGCUUGGUGCAUCUUCAAAGGUUAAGCCUCUCUGACAAUAAUUUCAAUUACUCUCAAAUUCCAUCUAGCAUUAGAAAUUUUCGAAGCCUCACUCAUCUUGACCUCUCUGACUCUGUCUUUUCUGGUCAAGUACCAUAUGAAGUCUCACACUUGUCCAAGUUGACAUACCUUGAUUUGUGUUGCAAUAUUGACGGACCUGAUGAUGAUCCUCGGCGAUUGCUGAAACUUCAACCAUCGGACAUGAGAAGUCUAGUUCAAAAUUUAACUAGUCUAGAGACCCUCUCUCUCAGUUACAUUAACAUAUCUUCAAUCAUACCGGUUUCCUUGACAAAUUUAACAUUUUUGACAUCCCUUAACCUCAAGAGAUGUGAUCUGUUUGGCGAAUUCCCAGUGAGAAUUUUCAAUUUACAAAACUUAAAAGUUCUUAGUGUGAGAUACAACCAAGAUCUCAUUGGAUAUUUUCCUGAAUUUAAUCGAAGUAGUCCUCUAAUCUCACUGAAAGUUUCUUAUACUAGGUUUUUCGGACAAAUACCUUCCUCGUUAGGAAAGCUUAAUUCAUUGCAAGACUUGGAUAUGGCUCAAUGUAAUUUUUCAGAAGGGUUGGUUCCAUCUGCACUUGGUAAUCUUAGACAGCUCACUUAUCUAGACAUUUCAGAAAACAAAUUUGGAGGUACAAUUCCUGAUUCCUUGGCAAACCUUACCCAAUUGACUGAGUUUAGGAUUAGUACGAAUUAUUUAACUGGUCCAAUUCCAUCUUGGCUAGGUAACUUAACCAAACUAGUUAACCUAGACAUUACGGAUAACUUCCUUUCUGGAGAACUUCCAAUUGUCAUACCCUGGGUUAACUUGCUCUGCUUGAGGCUUUCAAACAACAUUUUUCAUGGACGAUUACCGAUCCCUCCACCAUCCUUGCUAGAAUAUGGAGCCGCUAACAACAAAUUUACCAGAGAAAUUUCACCAUUGCUUUGCAAUAUGAAUUCUCUUAUGUACCUUGACUUGUCAAAAAAUAACUUGAGUGGCAUGCUUCCUCAGUGUCUCGGAAACUUUAGUGACGGUCUAAUCCUUUUACUUAUUGGAAGCAACUUUUUCAUGGCAUGAUGCCUCAAUCAUUCAACAACAAAAGCAGUUUGAGGAUGAUUGAUGUUAGUCAUAACCAAUUGCAGGGGCAAUUACCUAGGUCAUUGGCGAAUUGUGUGAUGCUUGAGUAUCUGGUUCUGUCAAACAAUCAAUUCAGUGAUGUUUUUCCCAUUUGGUUGGGGACUCUUCCAGGGUUAAAACUUUUGGCAAUGCGCCAUAAUGGGUUUAAUGGUGUGAUAGGACAAUCCAGAACAAAUGUUGACUUCCCCAAGUUACGCAUUCUUGAUUUGUCUUACAACAAUUUUAGAGGUGAGAUUCCACCUUUGUUUCCAGAUAUUGUUGUAAACAUGUCAACAUACAUGCAUGCACAAGUACAGUAUGUCGUCACUGGUGUUUAUCUUAGACGAAAUAUUUCUUACUCAAUCACAAUGGCAAUUAAGGGUUUGGAUUUGUACUAUUCAAAGAUUCAAGAAGGCUUUGCAGCCAUUGACAUCUCAAGCAACAAAUUUGAAGGUAAGAUUCCAGAAUUCAUUGGGAACCUUAAGGAGCUUCGCUCACUCAAUAUUUCCAGCAACAUUCUCACUGGUUCUAUUCCAUCAUCCUUGGGGAACUUAAGGAAUCUUGAAUCGUUGGACCUUUCACAGAACAAGCUGUCAGGACAGAUCCCCCAACAACUGACGAGGCUUACAUUCCUUGGGAACUUUGAUGUGUCUCACAACAAUCUCACAGGUACCCAACUUACUUCAUUGAAUAGCACUUCGUAUGAGGGAAACCCAGGAUUGUGUGGAGAUCCAUUACCAAAAUGCGGAAAUCAAGAGGCCCCUCAACCGCCACCUUCAACUGAAGAAGACAGUGAUUCAGGCUUAGCUCGAACGCUUGAAUUUGAUUUGAAAUUUUGUUUGGCUGGAAUUGGAAGUGGGUUUGUAGUGGGAGUGGUUCUCGCGGAUGUCACCAUCACAAGAAGGCAGGAGUUGUUUCUUAAGAUCGUUGGAAUGUUCAGGCUAAUGAUAUGGAAAAGGUAG